AACUUCAAAUUGCCUUUCGCCACUCUGUUGUUUAAAAAGUUGCACUUUAUCCCUCUGCGGCUUAAUUUUAUUUCACCACAAAGUUUCAUAUCAAAUAAGAUAUAACAUUCAGGAUUCACAAUAAUCUUAUAUUUGAGAUAUAAUAUGACUAAAUUUUUUAACCCAAAUAUAGCAUUUUAGGUUGGUGGCUAUACUUUUACCGUUUGGUUCGGGUAUAAGCAAGAACUAGCUAUUACAGGAAUAGGUACAAAUAUGGGGAUAAGAAAAAUAGUGUUUGGAUAAAAAUUGAGUUGUUCCUGGAGAUAAGAACAAUUUUAAGUAGUUUUAUAUAGAAAAUGAAGGUGUUGGUGGGAAUAGCCAAGAACUAUUAUUCUCGGAUAAAAAAUUAGCGUUUGGGUAUAAAGGGGGGAUAAGGGCCUAUUCCUUUUCCUAUUCCCUAACCAAACGCUCCAACAGGUUAAUAGAAUUAAAGCAUCUAGUUAGAGUAGUUCUAGGAUGAACGACCCCCUGCAAUAGCAGUGCCACAUAGGAUGGCAAAACAAAAUAUUUAAGAAAAUCCUAGGACGACAAAGUGAAAAAUACGCUAAACCAUAAUGUUGUUGAGUGUAAUUUUUUAAACCGCAACAAG
rnacentral:lncRNA from 1 species